GCGGCGAUGAGCGCCAUGGUCAAGGGCCCCGCGGCGAUGAAUGUGGAGGAGCAGCAGCAUGUCCAGAACGGGCCAUCGCUCGUGGAGCAGCUCCAGAAGCUCCGAGAGGCAGGGUUUUGUACCGUUGAAGCGGUGGCCUAUUCGCCCAAGAAGGCAAGAUCAAAGGCAUAAAGGUCGACAAGAUCCACUGAAGCGGGUUAUGGACAUUUUGGUUUUGUUUUGUUUUUAUUUUCUUCUCAUUGUUCUACGGAACUUGCGUAGUGAAGCGACCAAGCUUGUUCCAAUGGGAUUUACAAGCGCGGCACAAAUGCACGAGCAGCGAUCCGAGAUCAUCCAAGUAACAUCGGGGUCCAAAGAACUCGACAAGAUCCUCGAGGGGGGCAGAACUGAGAUCUAUGGAGAGUUUCGGACUGGAAAGACUCAGUUGUGUCAUACGCUUUGUGUAGCAUGUCAGAUCAUGGAGGUGGUGAGGGCAAAGCAGAUGCUGAAGGAACUUUCAGGCCACAGAGAUUGUUGCAAAUAGAGAUAUGGGCUGAACUGCUGUUGGAGGCGGCGUCUAUGAUGGCUGAAUCGCGACAGCGCGACUGCUCUGUAUCGGACCGAUUUUUCAGGACCCGGUGAACUAUCUGCCAGAAAAAUGCAC